rnacentral:rRNA from 1 species
UACAGAGGGUGCAAGCGUUACUCGGAAUUACUGGGCGUAAAGCGUGCGUAGACGGUUAUGUAAGUCAGAUGUGAAAGCCCCGGGCUUAACCUGGGAAUGGCAUUUGAGACUGCAUAGCUAGGGUGCGGAAGAGGGAAGCGGAAUUUCCGGUGUAGCGGUGAAAUGCGUAGAUAUCGGAAGGAACACCAGUGGCGAAAGCGGCUUCCUGGUCCAGCACCGACGUUCAGGCACGAAAGCGUGGGGAGCAAACAGG